rnacentral:lncRNA from 1 species
AGUCUGAUAAUUCCAACAACCCUGCUAUGUCUGGUUCUGAUGCUUGCUGUGUCUCUUCAACUAGUGUUUUUUGCCUUUGGGAAUGCCCUGGAAUAUUUUCUUGAUAGCCAGAAAUGAUUUACUGGCUAAACGGAACGGCUGUAAAAAGGCCUUUAGUAAUGCGGUGAUGCCUCUGGUUUUUGAACUUCACAAGUGCUUCCCAGUGUUUUUCCUCCCUUCCUUAGGUGGGAGAGGACGGCUGUAGCGCGCCAGAGUUGGGUAUUUCCCUUCUCCCUGGUGGAAGGCUAGAGUGGAGUGGAGUUGGGUGUUUCUCUUUCCCUGGGUCAGUUAGGCUCUAAUAAUACCCAGCUAGUUAGGCUUGGUUAACUAGUUUCCCCUGAGGACAGUCCUUAUUAAGAAGAACAGAGCACUCUGGUGUGUUUCAAAAUGGUUCCUUUUCCCCUCUCUGUGCCAGAAGCCCAAGAGGAUUUUUCUCUAUUUCCUGUGAGGACCUGGUCAACCUUUUGGAGCGCUUGUGACUUGAGUAGCUGGAAAGGAAACUAACAAAAGAAUCUGUCACAACAUGAUUCUCAGUUUCACUUAUUCAGAAUUGAAGAUAUUGAUGCCUUCAGUUGAGAUUAAUUGGAUGUGGUUUCUAAUUAGCAAGAUAAAAAGUUGUGAAGAGGCACAAGUAAAUGAUGGCACUGUAUCGUCAACCGCUCUCCACCUCCUUUUGGACUGGAAAUCUGUCUCUUGGAUCCUGGUGUUCUUCUCAUGGGGAUGUAGUGAUUUCAAUGACUUCCUCUGGACCAUGGCUUGGCUGCACAGGAUUGUUGCCGCUUGUCUGAGAACAAUCUCUAAAGUGGUAUUUAGAGAUGAGAAAAUUGAAGCCCUGAGUGACUAUCUGAGGUUAGAUGACAGGUGGCACAUGGUGGAGGAGAUCUCAGGCCCAUCUGCCUGCAGUGGCCUCUCUGCUUUCUCUGUACUAUUCUGUGUCAGAAUCUUUGUUCCUCCUUCACUUCUCUCUCAUCCGCUUCCCAGUCAAAACAAUUUUAAAGCACAUGUACAUGUGAUUCCCACGUGUAUGCCCGGAAGCACUCUUGGAGAGGUAUAAUUACCCGGAAAAAGAUGUGCAUCUCUUCUUCCUUAUAAUCCUCCAUACAGCUACAAAGGAAAAAAAAAAAAAUCUCUUUACGAACACACAUAUUUAUUCCAAUGUUUAAACUCCAAUAGCAGAUGCUCACACAGAGAUACAAACAGGCAUCCUUCUACUCACUAAUAUGCACUAACCAUAAGCAUAUUAGAAAGUAGGAUAUGGGAAGAACUGGCAUAUAAAGCAAAAGGUAAUCAUAUCAUGAGCAAUAAAAGUCUCAAGAAAAUUAUACAACUCAGACUUGGCUGUUAAGACUACACGGGCACAGAAAAUUAGUUUUGAAUCUAGUUUGCUGCUUGAGUUUUGAGACAAGUAACUGACCAAUAACUGCAGGAAGUAGGAAAAAAAAAUUGAUUUCUAGGAGAGAGUGUGAGGUUCUGUGGACAAUUAGGUAGAACAGAC